GGGGCUGUAGCGCAGUUGGAAGCGCGUCUCAAUGGCAUUGAGAAGGUCAGGGGUUCGAAUCCCCUCAGCUCCA
rnacentral:tRNA from 1 species